GACGUAGGGCGCGAGCGUUGUCCGGAUUUAUUGGGCGUAAAGAGCUCGUAGGCGGCUUGUCGCGUCGUCUGUGAAAUCCCGCGGCUCAACUGCGGGCUGGCAGUCGAUACGGGCAGGCUGGAGUUCGGUAGGGGAGACUGGAAUUCCUGGUGUAGCGGUGAAAUGCGCAGAUAUCAGGAAGAACACCCGUGGCGAAGGCGGCUCUCUGGGACGGUACUGACGCUGAGACGCGAAAGCGUGGGGAGCGAACAGG
rnacentral:rRNA from 1 species